rnacentral:lncRNA from 1 species
GAGAACCAUUUAUUUGUUUUAUUUUCUUUGUUUUGUUUUCAAUUUUCUCUGUUUUUGUUUUUGUUUGUUUUCUUAAAAAAAUGCAUGUUUUUUCCUUUGAUUUUUGAGUUAUAAUUAUAAGUAUUUUUCUUAACUCUCUUGACUAAAAUCUUGUGGUGUGAUUUGAAAAAUUUGCUGUGCAUUUUUAGUAUGAUAGGUAGGACUAAAC